AGUGGGAUUACUGGGUCAAAUGGUGGUUCCAUUCCAAGUUUUCUAAGGAAACUUCAUACUGCUUUCCAGAGUGAUUGAACCAAUUUGCAGUCCCAAAAGCAAU
rnacentral:pre_miRNA from 1 species